UACGAUUAGUAUUGAGAUACAUUUCUCUGCGGAGAAGAGAGGCCAAUUCUUGUGUGCUUUCUAAAGCACGACAUUAAGUCAUGAAUUUGGUGCCCACAGCCCUGUGGGCCCCUCCCCAGCAACAUAAGCAAGUGGUCCAAGCUCUUCUGAUUUCACUGAUAAUUACUAGUGGAAUAAAAACAUUAAAUAAUAUUUCUGGGUAUAUAAUCCUUUGCACAUAGGUAAAAUCUUCUG